GAAAACUACCAGCGCAAGCUCGAAACUUAAAGGACUUGACGGUGCUUCAGAUGCCCUAGAGGAGCCUGUCCUGUAACCGAUAAUCCCCGUUAAACCUUACCUUCUUUAGCAUUCAGUCUAUAUACCGCCGUCUUCAGUUCACUCCUUGAGGAAGCAUUAGUGAGCAAAAUCGGCUUAAGCCCAAAACGUCAGGUCGAGGCAUAGCAUACAAGAAGCGAAGAGAUGGGCUACAUUUCCUAAAAGGACCUGCGGAUAGAGUUUUGAAACAGACUCUUGAAGGAGGAUUUAGCAGUAAGUAAAAAAUAGAGCGUUUUACUGAAGAUUUUCUGAAGCGCGUACACACCGCCCGUCCCUCCCUUCUAAUUUUACAACCUAAAAAAUAAAUAAAACCUUACAUUAAUAAAGAAGGGACAAGUCGUAACAUGGUAAGUGUACUGGAAAGUGCACUUGGAUAAAU
rnacentral:rRNA from 1 species